rnacentral:rRNA from 1 species
GACGAACGCUGGCGGCGUGCUCAACACAUGCAAGUCGAACGGAAAGGCCCUGCUUUUGUGGGGUGCUCGAGUGGCGAACGGGUGAGUAACACGUGAGUAACCUGCCCUUGACUUUGGUAUAACUUCAGGAAACUGGGGCUAAUACCGGAUAGGAGCUCCUGCUGCAUGGUGGGGGUUGGAAAGUUUCGGCGGUCGGGGAUGGACUCGCGGCUUAUCAGCUUGUUGGUGGGGUAGUGGCUUACCAAGGCUUUGACGGGUAGCCUGCCUGCGAGGGUGACCGGCCACAUUGGGACUGAGAUACGGCCCAGACUCCUACGGGAGGCAGCAGUGGGGAAUAUUGCACAAUGGGCGGAAGCCUGAUGCAGCAACGCCGCGUGCGGGAUGACGGCCUUCGGGUUGUAAACCGCUUUCGCCUGUGACGAAGCGUGAGUGACGGUAAUGGGUAAAGAAGCACCGGCUAACUACGUG